GGACCGAUAGUAUAACGGAUAGUACAGCAGGCUUCGAACCUGUUAAUGGGGGUUCGAUUCCCUCUCGGUCCG
rnacentral:tRNA from 1 species